UCCCUGGUGGCUCAGAGGUUAAAGCAUCUGCCUGCAAUGCAGGAGACCUGAGUUCGAUCCCUGGGUUGGGAA
rfam:Ovis aries breed Texel chromosome 5, whole genome shotgun sequence.